UACGUAGGGGGCAAGCGUUGUCCGGAUUUAUUGGGCGUAAAGAGCGUGUAGGCGGCCAGGUAGGUCAGCUGUGAAAACUCGGGGCUCAACCUCGAGACGCCGGUUGAAACCAUCUGGCUAGAGUCCGGAAGAGGAGAGUGGAAUUCCUGGUGUAGCGGUGAAAUGCGCAGAUAUCAGGAAGAACACCCGUGGCUAAGGCGGCUCUCUAGUACGGUACUGACGCUGAGACGCGAAAGCGUGGGGAGCGAACAGG
rnacentral:rRNA from 1 species